GACAGAAAGAGGGGAUGAUAUGCCGUUUUAAGUUUGUUAUAGUCAUCAUAUAUGCAGUAUUUUGUAAGAAGUCAGACCCAGCGGGAGUGUGACUGUGUGUAACCUAAACCGGCGGGAGUGUGAGCCGUAUUGUGUUUGAGAGCGGAGGAGACCUGCGUCAGGCUGCGUGUGGGAAGCCUUGGUUUAUUUACAAGUUUCUGAUGUGCUUCCGACAUUGCCACUCAUGCUGAUGCAAGAGAGGUGCUCAGGCCUUGCCGCUGCCAGGGACUUCCUGCACGUGGACAGAGCUUUUCUUCUUCCUUCAGCUCGCUGCGGUAUCGAGGGUUUGAAUGGACUGUUACUACCAGCUUUCUGAGUUUCCAA